rnacentral:rRNA from 1 species
UGAGGAAUAUUGGUCAAUGGACGAGAGUCUGAACCAGCCAAGUAGCGUGAAGGAUGAAGGUUCUAUGGAUUGUAAACUUCUUUUAUACGGGAAUAAACGAAUCCACGUGUGGAUUUUUGCAUGUACCGUAUGAAUAAGGAUCGGCUAACUCCGUGCCAGCAGCCGCGGUAAUACGGAGGAUCCGAGCGUUAUCCGGAUUUAUUGGGUUUAAAGGGAGCGUAGAUGGGUUGUUAAGUCAGUUGUGAAAGUUUGCGGCUCAACCGUAAAAUUGCAAUUGAUACUGGCAGUCUUGAGUACAGUUGAGGUAGGCGGAAUUCGUGGUGUAGCGGUGAAAUGCUUAGAUAUCACGAAGAACUCCGAUUGCGAAGGCAGCUUACUAACCUGUAACUGACAUUGAUGCUCGAAAGUGUGGGUAUCAAACAGGAUUAGAUACCCUGGUAGUCCACACGGUAAACGAUGAAUACUCGCUGUAGGCGAUAUACAGUCUGCGGCCAAGCGAAAGCAUUAAGUAUUCCACCUGGGGAGUACGCCGGCAACGGUGAAACUCAAAGGAAUUGACGGGGGCCCGCACAAGCGGAGGAACAUGUGGUUUAAUUCGAUGAUACGCGAGGAACCUUACCCGGGCUUAAAUUGCAACCGAAUAUGGCGGAAACGCUAUAGCUAGCAAUAGCGGUUGUGAAGGUGCUGCAUGGUUGUCGUCAGCUCGUGCCGUGAGGUGUCGGCUUAAGUGCCAUAACGAGCGCAACCCUUGCCGAUAGUUACUAACAGGUUAUGCUGAGGACUCUGUCGGGACUGCCAUCGUAAGAUGUGAGGAAGGUGGGGAUGACGUCAAAUCAGCACGGCCCUUACGUCCGGGGCUACACACGUGUUACAAUGGGGGGUACAGAGGGCUGCUACCACGCAAGUGGAUGCCAAUCCCAAAAACCUCUCUCAGUUCGAAUUGAAGUCUGCAACCCGACUUCAUGAAGCUGGAUUCGCUAGUAAUCGCGCAUCAGCCACGGCGCGGUGAAUACGUUCCC